CGGGAUGUAGCGCAGCUUGGUAGCGCACUGGUUUCGGGUUCCAGGGGUCGGAAGUUCAAAUCUUCUCAUCCCGA
rnacentral:tRNA from 1 species